GUUAACAAACACGGACAACCGCCCGUAAAGAUUGUGUGCAGAAUAAUCGUGAAAUUUUAUGUGAAAACUCGAGGAAAGGAAAAACAUCAUUUCAUCCCGAAAUUUGGCAACAUUCGUCCGAGUAUGGUUGAGCAGCUGUGUGUGUGUGUAUGCCGACGGAAUACGACUCCGUUUCUACAUCAAUCACUAAAGCCGGCUGUCAUCGUGAUCGGCACAUUCUCAACUGGACCAACACACCGGUCGUUCCCAAGUGCCACAAAUCCAC